rnacentral:rRNA from 1 species
AGCAGCCGCGGUAAUUCCAGCUCCAAUAGCGUAUAUUAAAGUUGUUGCAGUUAAAAAGCUCGUAGUUGAAUUUCGGGAUCAGUAUGUUGGUCGUGCUUCGGUACGUACUGUCAUUACUGGUUUCUACCUUCUGAAGAACCUUGAUGUCAUUAAUUUGGUGUCUUGGGGAAUCAGGACUGUUACUUUGAAAAAAUUAGAGUGUUUAAAGCAAGCAUACGCUUGAAUACAUUAGCAUGGAAUAAUGAAAUAGGACGUUUGAUUCUAUUUUGUUGGUUUCUAGGAUCGACGUAAUGAUUAAUAGGGAUAGUUGGGGGCAUUAGCAUUCAAUUGUCAGAGGUGAAAUUCUUGGAUUUAUUGAAGACUAACUACUGCGAAAGCAUUUGCCAAGGAUGUUUUCAUUAAUCAAGAACGAAAGUUAGGGGAUCGAAGACGAUCAGAUACCGUCGUAGUCUUAACCAUAAACUAUGCCGACUAGGGAUCGGAUGAUGUUAUUUUUAAUGACUCAUUCGGCGCCUUAAC